rnacentral:rRNA from 1 species
GUAAUAGUUAUGUUCUUGAAACCCAAAGAAUUUGGCGGUAUUUUAGUCCUUUCAGAGGAACCUGUCCCGUAAUCGACAAUCCACGAUAUAAUUUACUUAUUUUUGUUUUUCAGUUUGUAUACCUCCGUCAUAAGAGAAUCUUUUUAGAGUAUUAAUUUUCUUAUUAUAAUAAAUAUAUUAUGUCAGGUCAAGGUGCAAUUUAUGAAUAAGUGGAGAUGGGUUACAAUAAACUUAUUUAUACGGAUUAAAAUAUUUAGUAGUUUUAUGAAGGAGGAUUUGAUAGUAAUUUUAAUUUUUUAUUAAUUUGAUUUUGGCUCUAAAAUAUGCACACAUCGCCCG